rnacentral:rRNA from 1 species
GACGAACGCUGGCGGCGUGCCUAAUACAUGCAAGUAGAACGCACAGUUUAUACCGUAGCUUGCUACACCAUAGACUGUGAGUUGCGAACGGGUGAGUAACGCGUAGGUAACCUGCCUGGUAGCGGGGGAUAACUAUUGGAAACGAUAGCUAAUACCGCAUAAUAUUAAUUAUUGCAUGAUAAUUAAUUGAAAGGUGCAAUUGCACCACUACCAGAUGGACCUGCGUUGUAUUAGCUAGUAGGUGAGGUAACGGCUCACCUAGGCGACGAUACAUAGCCGACCUGAGAGGGUGGUCGGCCACACUGGGACUGGGACACGGCCCAGGAUUCUACGGGAAGCAGCAGUAGGGAAUCUUCGGCAAUGGGCGGAAGUCUGACCGAGCAACGCCGCGUGAGUGAAGAAGGUUUUCGGAUCGGAAAGGUCUGUUGUAAGAGAAGAACGGGUGUGAGAGUGGAAAGUUCACACUGUGACGGUAUCUUACCAGAAAGGGACGGCUAACUACGUG